AAGAAAGGGCUGUAACCACUAAA
rnacentral:piRNA from 1 species